CUUGACGAUCAUAGAGCGUUGGAACCACCUGAUCCCUUCCCGAACUCAGAAGUGAAACGAC
rnacentral:rRNA from 2 species